GGCGAGGUAGCUCAGUUGGCAGAGCAGCGGACUCAUAAGCCGUAGGUCGUGGGUUCGAGUCCCACUCUCGCCACAA
rnacentral:tRNA from 1 species